rnacentral:rRNA from 1 species
GACGAACCGUGCGAACGUUGUUCGGAAUCACUGGGCUUAAAGGGCGCGUAGGCGGGCUGGAAAGUCCGUGGUGAAAUCCCCCGGCCCAACCGGGGAACGGCCUCGGAUACUUUCGGCCUGGAGGCGGGUAGGGGCGAGCGGAACUGUGGGUGGAGCGGUGAAAUGCGUAGAUAUCAUCUGGAACGCCAAUGGUGAAAACAGCUCGCUGGGGGUUUGCAGACGCUGAGACACGAAAGCCAGGGGAGCGAACGGG